rnacentral:rRNA from 1 species
CGAAUGUGAUAAACGCUGAAAGCAUCUAAGCGUGAAACACACCUCAAGAUUAGAUAUCUCCAACAUUAAGUUGAUAAGGUCACUUGUAGACUACAAGUUUGAUAGGUCGGAGGUGUAAGUACAGUAAUGUAUUCAGCUGACCGAUACUAAUAGACCGAACGCUUGAACUA